rnacentral:rRNA from 1 species
AACGAACGCUGGCGGCAUGCCUAACACAUGCAAGUCGAACGAUGACUUCGGGCAUCGUGCCGCACCGGUGCGUAACGCCUGGGAAUCUGCCAUUGGGUUCGGAACAACAGGGAGAAGUUGCUGCUAAUCCCGGAUGAUUUCUUCGGACCAAAGAUUUAUCGCCCAGGGAUGAGCCCGCGUAGGAUUAGCUAGUUGGUGGGGUAAUGGCCUACCAAGGCGACGAUCCUUAGCUGGUCUGAGAGGAUGAUCAGCCACACUGGGACUGAGACACGGCCCAGACUCCUACGGGAGGCAGCAGUGGGGAAUAUUGGACAAUGGGCGCAAGCCUGAUCCAGCAAUGCCGCGUGAGUGAUGAAGGCCUUAGGGUUGUAAAGCUCUUUUACCCGGGAUGAUAAUGACAGUACCGGGAGAAUAAGCUCCGGCUAACUCCGUG